rnacentral:lncRNA from 10 species
AGUGUACAGCAGAAUGAGCCUCCUGUCACCAGCCCAGAGCUCUCAGACAGAAUUGAGUUCCUGUACAGUAGGACUUUCCACUCAUGUCUGUGGUCUAGGAGGAGAUUGGGUUGGGCAAACACCAGGCACGAUGGAGCAACCAUUAACCCUGGAGUUGUGAAGACAGAUAACAAGUUUUUAAUGUAAUAAAGAUCAACGUAUCAGUUAUUCUUUUUAUGGAUUAUGCCUUUGAUGUUGUAUCUGUAGAGUCAUCUUCAAACUGGAGAGCUGAAACCUAAUAUUUCUGGAGGCUGGAAGUCUGAGAUCCACAUGCUCCCAAAGGACCCACUUCCUAAAAUCAUUACUUUGGAGUCUAGGAUCUCAACAUAUGAACUUUGGGGGAUGGGGACAGAAACAUUCGGUCCAUUGCAGAGGAAGAGCCUGUGUUAAUAUGAAAGAGUCAGAAAAACUUCUUUGAAAAGCCAAUCCUUUGCUUUCUGAGGGUGAGUGAAGAUUAAGCAGAAGGAGCAGUUUAAGGCAGCAGGAAAUGCUAGGGUGAAGACUCUUGAAGGAAAAAAUGAAGGCCAGUCAGUGUGGCUGGAGUGAAAAAAUCCAGGAAGAUACUGCACAAGUUGACGCUAGUGAGGAGGCAUGGCCAUGGUGAGGGUUUUGGCCUUUAUUGUAAGGAUGAAGGGAAGACACUGAGAGGUUUAAGAAGGGGCAGAAUGGAACAGACAACAGGACUGUCAGGGAACAUCCAUUUUAACAAUAUCACCUUGCUGCCAUGUGGAGAAUUGAUUGAAAGAGGGCCACGGUGUGUGGGAGACUCACUGCGAGCACCUCACAUUAAUCCAGACAUGAUGGCAGCUUGAACUAGGAUAUUAGCUGAAGAAAGGGAGAAAAAUAGAUGACUUGAGUGAUGUAGAGAUAUAAAGGCCAUAGGAGCUGGUGAUUGAUUUCAUAUGAGCAGUGUGGCAUCACAGGCAUCUUCCAGGUUUAUGGCUGGAGCUCUGGAUGGACUGUGGUGCUGUUGAAGCCAGAACCAGACCACGUUUGUGGGAAAGACAAUAAAUCGAGCCAAUUAGGAUGGGGAGGGGUGUUCAAUAGUGCAGAGACAAACCUUGAUUGAGGAAAAUAUGAGAAGGCUACAUUUAGGAGGCAGGAUUUGAACCAGGCCUUCAAUACAUCCAGAAAUCAGAGCCAGGCAUAGUGGGGAAAUUGCAGGGGAAGUGAGGUUCCCAACAGAGGGAGCACCCAGAGCCUUAUGGGGGAUCUUGGCAUUUUUAUUCCAUUUUUGUUUUAAGUAAACUUUGCAUUGAAGUUCAGCAUACCUAUAGAAAAGUGCAC